UAACAUAUAUUAGAGCCCCGUUGGCUCG
rnacentral:sRNA from 1 species